CCGCACGCGUCGGGAGAGCGUGCGGCACAUCGUUCGUCGAUCGGAUGGCUUGCCGCGCCGCCGAAGGGGCACACCCGCAAACUCUCAGGCAAAAGGACCGGCCGCGUCGAA
rfam:Burkholderia sp. TSV85 TSV85_39, whole genome shotgun sequence.